rnacentral:lncRNA from 1 species
GUGCCCGAUCCACCUCCAUCUGGAGCUCUACCUCGCUCUGAGCUCCUCUUGACUCCUGAAGCUCCAUCUCACACUGGAUUCUCCAUCAGAUAAUAAUGUCCUCUCCUUUUUUUUUUCUAGAACAAUCCUAUUGCCGUGUAGCACCUUCAAGAUUCCUCCACCAGCUACCAUCCUGUAGCCUCUCGAAUCCAGUCUACUCAGUGAGAUAAGAUUCUGUCUGAAAUCAGAUAUGUAUCAGACCUCCUUCAAUCUCCUCACUGCACCAUCAUGUAUCCUUCAGUUGACCAUCUUGAUACC